GUCACACCAUUGUCUUCAUACUUGGCCACAACAACCCUUCAAAUAGACCAGACUAAACUAAAUUAACUUGACCACCAUAUUAACAUUCAAGAAGUUCGGCCUACAUGUCAGAUUUAUGAAUGUGAACAGCAGGAUAUCGAUUUUAAGGAUGCUUUAGGGUCAAUGACAAUGAAAUCACGAAAGAUAAAGGCUAAAAUGUGAGACUGUCAAUCUGACUAACCUUGAAGUGAACAAAUGGAAAAAAUGUUUCUUUCAAUAGCAUGGGCUUUUAAGGAAGAGGAAACAGAGGCGCUUAUAUGAUAGAACAGUAAAAGCAGGAGUGAUAAUGAAAGAUACAUGUAGAUGUGUCUUCAUGUCGGAAACACUAAAGAAAUAGAAAUAUUGUGGUUUUAUAAAACUUAAAAGAAAUUGGAAUACCAGGAGACUGCCUGCCCUUUGCAAUGUUGGAUAAAGAGUUCUUAGAUGUGAUGUCGAAAGCCUCAUGAAGCCCAUGACUUAAUCUAAUUAGAAAAAGAAAUGACAUUGAAGAGAAAACUAGUCACCAGUCUUUCACCAAGAACUAGAGAUAACUUUCCAAUAUUUGAAAUAUCAUAAUAUGAGCCGCGUCAUGACAAAACCAACAUAGUAGGUUUGCGACCAGCAUGGAUCCGAACCAGCCUGCGCCUCCGCGUAGUCUGAUCAGGAUCCAUGCUGUUCG